rnacentral:lncRNA from 1 species
AGGAACAAACCCACGGAAGGGGCUCAGGCUCGUACAAAGGUGCGGCGGGGAUUCCUAUCCUACUCCCCUGCUCGGUCCUGACUAGGGACCUGCAAAGCGGCCCCGACCGGGGCCCUCAGUGGCUACAGACUUCUCCAGACAGAAGUGCAGAAGAAAAUGGCGUCCGCGGCGAGCAACUCGGAAGUCCCGCCCCCACCGGCGUGAGCCGUCGGAAUCGUCCCCGUCCUAGGCCGUCAUUGGCCCAGCUCCCGCCGUACGCAUAAUGCACAGCCUUCUAAGUAGUGUAGUUUUCCUCAUGUGUUCAACAAUGGGAGGAACGCUUCACGGCGCAAGUUUUCCUCCCAGGGAAAGGCACUCCAGGACCCGAGGAGACGCUCCAGACCCACCUCUUUACGAUCCCUCCUCCCCGGAUCAUCAUCUUGGAAGACACAAAAAAGCCGAAUGAUCAUCUGGAAGCCCUGCCCCGACACGUUGUGUGCGCAAACUGCCCUCUUUUGGGCCUUCUUUGGACCAGCACAGCCGCCACGUGAUGCAGGGAGCCAUGUAUUUGGCCCAGACCACACAAAAAGUGGAUUUGCCCACUUCUGAGGUGGGGAGGCUGCAAGUGGAGGAGGCUUGGAGGCUCAGGAUGCUUAGUUUGAAAUGUCUACAGAACCACAAAGUAUCUCUGUCACAGGCAAUUCAACUUACGACUGAAUGUUGGAAGAAGGUUUGAGCAUGAAUAUAUGAAUUUAGGAGUUACCUUACACUGUUAUUUCAAGUCAUGAUAUUGAGUGAGACCAUCAAGGCAAUGCAUGUAGAUGGAGAAGAAAAUACACAGAGCAUGAGCCGGGGACCAAGUCUACAUCAUUAAAUGGUUGAUGACAAUAUUACCAGAAAGGCCAGGUCCUUGCAUCUAGAUCCUGCUGCUUGCUGCACAGAAGGCCAAUCAGCAAGACAAUGAGUAUUGUCAGGGAUGAAGGCUUUAUUCGGUGCUGCAGCUGAGGAAAAUGGGAGAUCAAUCUCAAAUCCCUUUCCUCAACUGACUAAAACUAGGGGUUUAUACAUCAGGGAAGAAGUGUAACUAUGUUUGAGAAAACAGGAAUUAGGAAGGGGUAAGGAAGAGGAAUGGGUCAACAGGCAGCAGAUGGUCAGUUAGGCAAUCAUCAUGGGUAAGGGGUAUAGCAUCUCGUUUUUCCAGAUGUGGUAAUCCAGUAAGUUUCAGUUUCUUUAUACUAUCUGGGAGGCCUGAUGCUUGGUUUCCUGAGAAAGGAAAUCAGAUAAGACAAAUAAAAGUGUCUCGAGUUUUAGGAAGGGGAGGCUCAAUGUCUAUAAUGUGUUGAUUCAAAAGAAACCAUAAAUAUCAGUUCUAUGGGACACUGGAGCUGGUUUCAGUUCCCUGUUUCUAUUUAUCAAUUCCUCAAU